AGAGACAUCCAGAUUCAUAGGGGACAAGGCUUGGAGGACUGAUAAGCAGCACAGAAAUGCACGAGGAAUGGGGGAAGGCUGCCAUCCAUCCCGGAUGGGCUGAGGCAGCAGCUUUUGGGAUAGCCCCUGCUCCAGUUGUUCAGGACUCACAUGAAGACCAAGCUGCACAUCUGCUACAUGUGCGGGGGAAGCCUAGGCCCAGCCCGUGUAUGUUCUUUCGUUGGUGGUUCCGACUCUGAGAACCCCAAGGAUCCAGCUCCUAUGCUGAAGAUCGCCACCCAGUGGGGACACGGGAAAUUCCAACACAGGGUGCCCAGCUGUGACUUCAUGAGGAAGCCUGUGGAUGGUCAUAGAAAGCUGACUAACAUACAAGUCACUGAAGACAUUCAUCUUUCCUCUAAUAAAAUGGAGCCAGACAUUGUGCUGGCUGGUUUUGAGGGUCAGCUUGAAUGACAAGAAGCUAAAGUCAGAGAGGAAGGAGCCUCAGUUGAGGAAAUGCCUCCAUGAGAUCCAGCUGUUGGGCAUUUUCUCAUUAGUGAUCAAUGAGGGAGCCUAAUGAGGAUAGUGUUGUCCCUGGUCUGGUGGUCCUGGGUUCUAUAAGAAAGAAAGCUGAUAAGCCAUGUUAAGCAAGUCAGUUACCAGCACUCCUCCAAGACCCCUGCACAGCUCCAGUCUGCAGGCUCCAACCCUGCUUUAGUUCCUGUCCUGACUUCCUCCAAUGAUGGG
rnacentral:lncRNA from 1 species